rnacentral:lncRNA from 1 species
GACACUCACACAGGACCUUCACCGCCUUCACUGGUUCUGAUUUAGAAGAGAGGUAGAGCUGGGUAUCAUCCGCAUACUGAUGAACACCCAGCCCAAACCUCCUGAUGAUCUCUCCCAGUGGCUGCAUGUAAAUGUUGAAAAGUAUGGGGGAGAGGACAGAACCCUGUCAUUAAGCUCAUAUUUCAAAAUUAUUAUUUUUUAAGUGCUUGCAUGUUUGCCAACCUUUGGGUAUCACUCUGCAUGCUUCUACCCCCAUCCAUACCCAUAACUCGUUCUUGGGACACUGUUCUGACUGGUGAACCAAUUAUAGUAGAGGUUUCUUUGCUGUGUGCUAUCUUUCACUUCUGUGUUUUAUUUUCUUUGGCUUGGAUCAUUGAUUUAUUUUCACUGGACAGGGUUGUUUUGCUAAGGAAACACGAGCCAAUGCAUGCUCUGGAUAAGGGCCUUGUAGAUAUUCUCGAAAGGGGUGUGUCUCCACUGGACAGCUCCCCUGCUACGUCAGCAACCAUGCUACACAUCUGCCUUUGGACAGCUGCCUGUCCUUUGCUGAUGAGACAGGGACUCUAAGGUGGAAAUGGGGCACAUCUGUGGACAGUGGCACAUCUGCAGACACUGGUGCUCAUCCUCCUUGAAGGAGCUGCCAAAUUGCUCACAGCCUUCUCCCUUUCCCUGCAGUCAAUGGAGGCUGGUGGAAAAGAAGAGGAGAAACUGCAACUAUUGGACAUACUGAGUCCAGAGAAACUUGGAGAGGGAGAGAUUUGGCUGGGCAAAGAACAUGACAAUAGCAUGGAGGAGAUGAAGCUGUUAUUCUGCAAUAGCAUCCAGGGCCUAUGAUUGGUAGUGAGCCAUUGCAUGGGCCCCAAUCUGUGCCUGACGAUGCUGACCUCAAGAUGCAAGGCUUGUGCCAGACUCCAUCCCUGAGCCAUCAAACCCAGUCCCUGAGCUGACAGGCUCUGUCCCGGCCUCCUAACUUCCACCCAGAGCCACAGUAGUAAUUUUGAGAUCAAAAGCUGGCAACCCUAAUUGCUGACCAUGUAAUACUUAGUGUGAGAAGGCAAAGGAAAAGCAGUUGGGAAAGGCCUUUGCAAAGGAGAGAACAACUGAAAUGGUUUAGGUUUACAUAAGCAAAAUGUUUGUGAGAUGAGGCAGAUGGUCAGAUUUCAGCUACCGGUAACUUGUUAGGGAAAGGAUUGGCAAUGUUUGGUCACAACUAGAUGUCUGCAGAGAAGAAGGUGGAAAAUAACAACAAUUGAGAUGCAAAUCUUGCAUCAAGAAAGAUUUGAGAAAGCUUAAGAUAUACUGAGAUAUGUCUGACAGGCUGUAAAUAAAGCCAGCUUGUCAGCUCUGGGUUCCAAGUGUGGUUUUAUUUAUGGCUAUUGCAGUGAACAAAUAAGAAUUGAAUUCUCAGGACAUUUACCAUGAUUUACAAAUGACAGAUUAGGAAAGCAUUCGUUAGGGAUUCUGUAGCAGACUUUUGGAGGAAAAGAAAGAUCCCAGAGAAUCAUCUGGAGGAGGGUGGGGGUGGCAGGAUUCUGUUUGUUAUGGGGGUAGAAUUGCCAGUUCCAGGGCCUCAAUGUAGAGCUUUAGUUUUCCUCUGAAUAUUGGAACUCAGUGCCAUCUCUCACAUUUUGUUCUUUUUCGGUGAGAGUGUCAGCGAGGCUCAUGGCACGGGGAGAAAGAGAAGUGAUUCUGGAAUUGCUAAUGCAAUCAGAACAUAUAUAAACUGCUGGGCACAGCAGUGUUGCAUGAACCGAUCAGUGCUUGGGGGAGGCAUUGCCUUCUGCCAGGCAUAAGGGAAAAAACACUCUUGGGAUGCAUGUAUGCAGCUAGACAGCAGUGAUGCAUUUGAGCACUUGUGCAAUUUGGUAAUGUAUACGGCGUGAUUCAUGGUAAGUUAAGUGCACUGAUGACAUACAAGAUUUCUAAGUACUCGCCCUAUAGUUGUCUUGCGUGUAACAAACCUCAUUCGCUGCAAUCCUGAGCUAGACAUAUUUAUGUAAGAUGUUUUAUGAUGAGAUUGGUAUAAUAAUGCGUCAUCAUUGGCCUAUUAGAUUCAGGAAGCUUUUCCAUAUUCACAUUUUAAUCUCACUUUUGCCUCUCAAAGUUACUGACAACAGAAGAGAGUAUGACAGAUGUGGAGGUUUUUUGUUCAAGAGUUAAGGAAACCCUUUCCCUGGUAAUCUUAGUCAACAGAACUUUGCUUUCAUACUCGGGAUCAGGGAUGGGAAACCAGUGACUCUCCAGAUGUUGUUGGACUCUGACACUGAGGGGGUGAUAGGAGUUGUAUAGUAGUAGUAGUAGUAGUAGUAGUAGUAGUAGUAAUAUUUAUACCCCGCCCAUCUGACUGUGUUUCCUCAGCCACUCUGGGCAGCUUCCAACAAAAUAUUAAAAUACAAUAAUCUGUUAAACAUUAAAAGCUUCCCUAAACUGGGCUGCCUUCAGAUAUCUUCUAAAGGUCUGGUAGUUGUUUUUCUCUUUGACAUCUGGUGGAAGGGCGUUCCACAGGGCAGGUGACUCUACCGAGAAGGCCCUCUGCCUGGUUCCCUGUAACUUGGCUUCUCGCAGUGAGGAAACCACCAGAAGGCCCUCGGCGCUGGUCCUCAGUGUCCAGGCAGAACGAUGGGGGUGGAGACGCUCCUUCAGGGAUACUGGACCAAGGCCGUUUAGGGCUUUAAAGGUCAGCACCAACACUCUGAAUUGUGCUCGGCAACGUACUGGGAGUCAAUAUAGGUCUUUCAAGACUGGUGUUAUGUGGUCUCAGUGGCCACUCCCAGUCACCAGUCUAGCUGCCGCAUUCUGGAUUAGUUGUAGUUUCCGGGUCACCUUCAAAGGUAGCCCCACGUAGAGCGCAUUGCAGUAGUCCAAGCAAGAGAUAAACAGAGCAUGUACCACUCUGGCGAGACAGUCUGCGGGCAGGUAGGGUCUCAGCCUGCGUACCAGAUGGAGCUGAUAAACAGCUGCCCUGGACACAGAAUUGACCUGUGCCUCCAUGGACAGCUGUGAGUCCAAAAUGACACCCAGGCUGCGCAGCUGGUCCUUCAGGGGCACAGUUACCUGGGGAUUCAGGACCAGGGAGUCCUCCACACCUGCCUGCCUCCUGUCCCCCCAAAACAGUACUUCUGUCUUGUCAGGAAUCAACCACAUCCUCCAACUGCCUCCAGACACUCACACAGAACCUUCAUUUCCUUCACUGGUUCUGAUUUGGGUUGGGUAUCCUCCACAUACUGAUGAACAUCCAGCCGAAAUCCCCUGAUGAUCUCUCCCAGCGGCUGCAUGUAGAUGUUGAAAAGCAUGGGGGAGAGGACAUAACCCUGAGGCACCCCACAAGUGAGAGCCCAGGGGUCUGAACACUCAUCCCCCCCCCACCACUUUCUGAACAUGGCCCAGGAGGAAGGAACGGAACCACUGUAUAACAGUGCCCCCAGCUCCCAGCCCCUCUAGACGGUCCAGAAGGAUGUUAUGGUCAAUGGUAUCAAAAGCCGCUGAGAGAUCCAGCAGAACUAGGAAACAGCUCUCACCUUUGUCCCUAGCCCGCUGGAGAUCAUCAGCCAGUGCGACCAAGGCAGUUUCAGUCCCAUGAUGAGGCCUGAAUCCUGACUGGAAGGGAUCCAAAUGGUCUGCUUCUUCCAGGCCUGUUCAGCAACCACUCACUCAAUCACCUUGCCCAAGAAUGGAAGAAUUGAGACUGGGCAAUAGUUGGCCAUAUUGGCCACAUCUAAAGAUGUUUUUUAAAGAAGUGGUUUGAUAACCGCCUCUUUCAGCGGGUCUGGGAAGGCUCCCUCACAGAGAGAAGCAUUCACCACCCCGUGAAGCCAAUCGCCCAGCCCUUCCCAGCUAGCUUUUAUAAACCAGGAUGGGCAAGGAUCAAGAAGACAGGUGAUUGGUUUCACUCGUCCAAGCAGUCUGUCCACAUCCUCAGAGGUAACAGAUUGGAAUUGAUCCCAUGCAACUUGACUAGACAGGACUCUAGCACUCUCUUGCCCCGGCCCUGCUCCCAUGGUGGAGUUUACCUCUUCCCAAAUCUGAGCGACUUUAUCAGCAAAAAAACUUUGCAAAAUCAUUGCAGGAGAUCAUGUGGCCCAUACUGGGCCCUGAUGGAACAGGUGGUUCCGCUAAAUUGUGAACCACCUGAAAGAGUAUCCUGCUGCUGUUUUCUGCAGAUACAAUAGAGGCGGUGAAGAAAGUCUUUUACUUAGUGAUCACCAACAUCCAUAGAAGUGAACACCAGGUCUAAGGCAUGUCCACGGCUAUGAGUUGGGCCAGACUUAUUCAGGGACAGCCCCUGGAGGACAUGCUUUCCACGAAGUCCUGAGCGGCCCCUUGUAAGGGCGUGUCGGCGUGGAUGUUAAAAUCCCCUAGGACAACCAAACUAAUCGUCUCCAGGAGAUCAUCCGCCACGACCUGAAGCAGCUUGGGCAAGGAAUCCUUGGUGCAGCGGGGAGGUCGGUACACCAAAAGGAAUCCUGUACUGCCCCUAUUGCCCAACUUCCAGAACAUGCACUCAGAGAACUGGGUCUUCCCAAUAGGACGCCUGGUGCAAACUAAUGUCUUCCUAAAAAUCACUGCAAGCCCCUCUCCCCGCCUACAAGGCCUGGGUUGCUGUGUGUAAGAGAAACCUGGUGGACAAGCAGCAGCAAGGACAGGCCCAUCUGCUUCAUCCAACCAAGUCUCUGUUACACAUACCAGGUCAAGUCCUCCACCCACGAUCAAGUCAUGGAGGGCAGUGGUCUUAUGAAUCAUUGACUUGGCAUUGCACAGCAGCACCUUCAGGUCAUGUGGGUAUCCCUUGCUGAUUCUAGUAUCCGUCCGUUCAGGACCAGACCCGGACGCACGAAUAGUCUUCAAACAACGACUAAACCUGCCUCCUCGGUAAUGACAUGGUCUGGUCUUCGUGUAACUCCUCCUCCUACCCGUGAUCACUGAGAUUGGUUGUCUCAGUGCAUUCCCCCAGUGGAACAUGCCCCAGCCAUUUUGUUGGCUGGGACCCACUCCCAGGCAGCGCUGACACCUCCCCUUAAGAACAAAAUAAAACCUAUAU